rnacentral:rRNA from 1 species
CCUACGGGAGGCAGCAGUGGGGAAUAUUGCGCAAUGGGCGAAAGCCUGACGCAGCGACGCCGCGUGAGGGAUGAAGGUCUUCGGAUCGUAAACCUCUGUCAGCAGGGAAGAACGGUCACUGUGCUAAUCAGCAGUGAAUUGACGGUACCUGCAAAGGAAGCACCGGCUAACUCCGUGCCAGCAGCCGCGGUAAUACGGAGGGUGCGAGCGUUAAUCGGAAUUACUGGGCGUAAAGCGCUCGUAGGCGGUAUGUCAAGUCAAGGGGGAAAUCCCCGCGCUCAACGUGGGAACUGCCUUUGAAACUGGCAAACUGGAGUGUGUGAGAGGAGAGUGGAAUUCCAGGUGUAGGAGUGAAAUCCGUAGAUAUCUGGAGGAACAUCAGUGGCGAAGGCGACUAUCUGGCACAUAACUGACGCUGAGGAGCGAAAGCGUGGGUAGCAAACAGGAUUAGAUACCCGGGUAGUC